ACGAGCAACCAAUACAGUCGGCGGUCUCUUCGUCAGCUGGCGGGCGGUGCGGUCAUUUCAGUUCGUGUAAAAGUGUGGUGCCCUGCUGGGCCACGUGCUUUGCCAAGAAAAAGCGAGAAACGUCUCUUACUCGCUUAACGUUAAGUCGCACGGCUCUUGCGUUUGGUGUAAAAGUUACAGCUGGUACAGGCAAGGCAGCGUGGGGAUCUGCGGCAGAGUGCCAACGUGUUUUUUGAGGCGUGCUCGGGCGUUAAGAAUGUGUGCGCUAAAUCCGAGGGAGUCGGCGGAGUACAUCGUCAAAAACGCCAAAGACGUUACCAUUGAUCAAGGCGGCAUUCGCAAGGUUGCUGAUGUUGUGCUGGACUGCUACAACAGGGGCCUUGUUGGGACACAUGCAUGGAGGGACCACCCAUUGCAUCCAAAAGUUGCGGAUGAUUCUGCAGCCCAGUGGGUUUCUCUUGUCGAUGCCCUAAACUUCAACUUUUGGUCAAAAGACAGUACACAUAAGUAUGCUGUGCAGUGGAAUGGCACUCUGCACACUGGCUACUUUUCACUAUGUGCUGCUGUUGCUCGUGCGUUGGAGGAGGGUGUGCCCCUUCUCAGUGCUGAAUUCUGCCGCAGCAUUUCUUUGGAGCAAGUUCACCAGAUAUUUCGAUCUGAUACAAAUGUGGAGAUACCCCUACUCACUGAAAGGCAUAAAGUUCUGCAAGAAUGGGGCCGUGUCUUGUCAAAUAUGUAUGGCGGAUCGUUUGCCAACUGCAUUCGAGAAUGUAAACACAGCUGCCAAACACUUCUGGGAAAGGUUGUGGAAAAGUUCACCUCAUUUCAAGAUGAAGGAACUUUUGAUGGUGUUAGAGUGUCAUUCUACAAGCGUGCUCAAAUACUUGUUGCUGACCUCUGGAGCUGCUUUGACGGAAAAGGCCUGGGCCAUUUUGAGGAUAUUGAUAUGCUGACAGCAUUUGCUGACUACCGUGUGCCCCAAGUACUAGCCUAUUUUGGUGCUUUAUGUUACUCUCCACAGCUGUCGUCUUUGCUUGCUAAAGGUAGCGUUAAACAAAUGGUCCACUUGAAGAAGAUGGAGUGGCAAUGAAAUAUGCUUGGAUUUCCUCCCCUGUCUGUCGUGGCACAAUUUAAUCUCUCUUGAGGAGAUCAGCUAAUUUUACAGAUGCGUCUUGGAAAGUGGAAGCAGAGAAGAAAUGGAGAUUCGUGGAGCAACAAUUCACGCAUGUGAGCUUGUUCGAGAGGAAUUGAGAAAAAAUAUGCCAUCUGAGAAAAUCAACUCAAUACUGGUUGACUACUGUCUUUGGGACUACCGCAGGCAACAUGCAAAGGAAAUUGAGCAUAUACCUUACCACCGUGUUCGGUGCAUCUACUAUUGAACUUAAGAAGGAAUCAUGAUUAUGACUGCAGUUUCUAGGACUUCCACAGGCAGGCUAAGUUUGUGUAUGGGGCUGUGUGGUGGAUUUAGCAGUAAAAUUGAUGGUUUGGCACUUUAUUGGCAUGUCAA